rnacentral:rRNA from 1 species
UACGUAGGGUGCGAGCGUUAAUCGGAAUUGCUGGGCGUAAAGCGUGCGUAGUCGGUUAUUUAAGUCGGAUGUGAAAUCCCCGGGCUCACCCUGGGAAUUGCAUUCGAUACUGGAUAGCUAGAGUUCGGCAGAGGGAAGCGGAAUUUCGGGUGUAGCGGUGAAAUGCGUAGAUAUCCGAAGGAACAUCAGUGGCGAAGGCGGCUUCCUGGACCAGAACUGACGAUCAGGCACGAAAGCGUGGGGAGCAAACAGG